rnacentral:rRNA from 1 species
AGAGUUUGAUCCUGGCUCAGGAUGAACGCUAGCGGCAGGCCUAAUACAUGCAAGUCGAGGGGUAGAGAAGGCUUGCUUUCUUGAGACCGGCGCACGGGUGCGUAACGCGUAUGCAACCUACCUUUAUCUGGGGGAUAGCCCGGAGAAAUCCGGAUUAAUACCGCAUAAAAUCACAGAAUAGCAUUAUUUAAUGAUCAAACAUUUAUGGGAUGAAGAUGGGCAUGCGUGUCAUUAGCUAGUUGGCGGGGUAACGGCCCACCAAGGCGACGAUGACUAGGGGAUCUGAGAGGAUGGCCCCCCACACUGGUACUGAGACACGGACCAGACUCCUACGGGAGGCAGCAGUAAGGAAUAUUGGUCAAUGGAGGCAACUCUGAACCAGCCAUGCCGCGUGCAGGAUGACUGCCCUAUGGGUUGUAAACUGCUUUUAUCCGGGAAUAAACCUACUUACGUGUAAGUAGCUGAACGUACCGGAGGAAUAAGGAUCGGCUAACUCCGUG